rnacentral:rRNA from 1 species
UACGAAGGGGGCUAGCGUUGCUCGGAAUCAUUGGGCGUAAAGGGCGCGUAGGCGGGCUCUUAAGUCAGGGGUGAAAGCCCAAGGCUCAACCUUGGAAUUGCCUUUGAUACUGAGGGCCUUGAGACCGGAAGAGGUCGGCGGAACUGCGAGUGUAGAGGUGAAAUUCGUAGAUAUUCGCAAGAACACCAGUGGCGAAGGCGGCCGACUGGUCCGGUUCUGACGCUGAGGAGCGAAAGCGUGGGGAGCGAACAGG